GACGAACGCUGGCGGCGUGCUUAACACAUGCAAGUCGAACGGAGAGGCCCUGCUUGCAGGGUACUCGAGUGGCGAACGGGUGAGUAACACGUGGGUUAUCUGCCCUGCACUUCGGGAUAAGCCUGGGAAACUGGGUCUAAUACCGGAUAGGAGCCAUUUUUAGUGUGAUGGUUGGAAAGUUUUUUCGGUGUAGGAUGAGCUCGCGGCCUAUCAACUUGUUGGUGGGGUAAUGGCCUACCAAGGCGGCGACGGGUAGCCGGCCUGAGAGGGUGGACAGCCACAUUGGGACUGAGAUACGGCCCAGACUCCUACGGGAGGCAGCAGUGGGGAAUAUUGCACAAUGGGCGCAAGCCUGAUGCAGCGACGCCGCGUGGGGGAUGACGGCCUUCGGGUUGUAAACUCCUUUCGCUAGGGACGAAGCUUUUUGUGACGGUACCUAGAUAAGAAGCACCGGCUAACUACGUG
rnacentral:rRNA from 1 species